GGAAAGGGAAUAAAUGGUGUGAAUAGGUGAUGAUAAGUAGCGGUUUUGGGGUGAAAGGGAAGUGUGAGAAGGAAAAAAUUGUUGAAGAUAUGAAGGAAUAGAUAGUUCAAGAAAAAUGAAAAAUAGGACAGGUGUUUCUUGGGAGAAGGAAAAGGAGAUAGAUGAAGCGGUAAAGAAAUGAGGGAAUAGGUGAUUUUAGAGUGAAGAAAAAGGUGAAUAAGGGAUCCUAUUUAUAUUGUGGUGAUUGAGUAAAGUAAAGGGAAACAGGAAAAGGUUGUUUAAUAGAGGAGAAUAAGAGGACUGAUGAGUAAAUGUGUUUGUAUGAGUGAGGUAGAGAAGGAAUAGUUAGUUUCAGAGUAAAAACAAAGGUGUAUAGGAGAUAAUACUGGUGACUGUGAGUAAACAGAAGUGGGAAGUAAACAGAAGUGGGAAGUAAACAGAAGUGGGAAGUAAACAGAAGUGGGAAGUAAACAGAAGUGGGAAGUAAACAGAAGUGGGAAGUAAACAGAAGUGGGAAGUAAACAGAAGUGGGAAGUAAACAGAAGUGGGAAGUAAACAGAAGUGGGAAGUAAACAGAAGUGGGAAGUAAACAGAAGUGGGAAGUAAACAGAAGUGGGAAGUAAACAGAAGUGGGAAGUAAACAGAAGUAGGAAGUAAACAGAAGUGGGAAGUAAACAGAAGUGGGAAGUAAACAGAAGUGGGAAGAGGGAAUGGAGAUAAACAAAUAAAUCGAGGUAUAUUAAUGAGAAAAAUGAGAAAUAGGUGAUUUAAGGGUAAAGAAAAAUGGUGAAAAGAUGAAAAAAUAACGUUAUAGAGUCUAAUUAAUGAGAUUUAGGACACAUCGAAAUUGGAAGAUGAGACAGGACAGAAACGAACGGAAAAGCUUGGGAGAGUAGAGUAGAAUCUGAUGAUGAUGAUAAUAAUGAUAAUGAGUAGCUAAGCAAAGUCGUAAAUUGCAAAGAGGCGAAGAGGUGUGUGCUCGGGUUUUUUUUUUUUUUUUAUAUAUUUUUACGUCGUUGAAUAUUGCGCCCUUGUGGAUGAAGGUACGAGGAUAGAUAGGUGAAAAUAAUUAUGUGUUAGUGAGUUAAAGGAAAGGAAGUGGAGUAGACGAAGACAAGAUAUUUUGAAGCGAAGAAAAAAGAAAAAAUAGACGAUAGCAGUAUAUGUAGGGAAGAAGGAAUAAGGAAUAGAAGGAAGGAAGGAACAGAAGAGAUAGAAGGAAGGUAUAGAAGGAAGGAACAGAAGAGAUAGAAGGAAGGUAUAGAAGGAAGGAAGGAACAGAAGAGAUAGAAGGAAGGUACAGAAGGAAGGAAGGAACAGAAGAGAUAGAAGGAAGGUACAGAAGGAAGGAAGGAACAGAAGAGAUAGAAGGAAGGUACAGAAGGAAGGAAGGAACAGAAGAGAUAGAAGGAAGGAAGGUAAAGUAAGAACAGACAUGUGCCCGAUGAAAAAGGUGAAGGAAAGGUAUGGAAAAGUGAUAUAUUGAUGACAAGACAUAAGGGAAGGAGAUCAAGGGUGAAAUAGAAGGUUUAGGAUGACUGAUGUAUGUUUAAAGAGAAAAUGAGCGUCUUUAGGAGCGUGUGUGAAGGUGUGUGGGUGUGUGUGUGAAAGUGAUGUUGAGAAGAUGAAAAGGGCGGCAAAGGUUCAUCCUAAUGGUGGAAAGGUUCUAAGAGUGAAAGGGUCCUAACAAGGGAAAGGUUCUAAGAGUGAAAAGGUUCUAACGAUGAUGAAAAGGUUCUAAGGGUGAUAAACGUUGGUUCUAAGGAGGAAAAGGUUCUAAGGGUGAUAAACGUUGGUUCUUCUAAAAGUGAAAAGGUUCUAACAGUGAUGAAAAGGUUCUAAGGGUGAUAAACGUUGGUUCUAAGGAGGAAAAGGUUCUAAGGGUGAUAAAUGUUGGUUCUAACAGUGAUGAAAAGGUUCUUAGGGUGAAAAACGUUAGUUCUAGGGAGGGAAAGGUUCUAAGGGUGAUAAACGUUGGUUCUUCUAAAAGUGAAAAGGUUCUAACAGUGAUGAAAAGGUUCUAAGGGUGAUAAACGUUGGUUCUAGGGAGGAAAAGGUUCUUAGGGUGAAAAACGUUGGUUCUAGGGAGGAAAAGGUUCUAAGGAUGAAAAAAUUGGAGUGAAAAAGUUCUGAUUCUAAAAGGGAAAAGAAGGUAAAUUUGAGGGAGUAAAGGAAAUCAAUUGGAAAGUGAAAUAGGAAAAUCUGAAAGGUCGAGAGAGAGAGA